GGAAGUAUGGUUUGAGAACGAUCAUAGGAAUUUAGAGUUCAUUUGAUCCAUCCUGUACAAGGAUGUUUAAAAACUAAAAUCUUCAGAGUAGGAUAUGUCACUGGUGGUAUAAAAGAAAGAACACUAUACUAGAAGUCACUAAAUCUGCUUUCAAGACCAUUCACUACCAUGUGUCAUAGCAUCAUAAGAUCUUAGAUUUAAAACAGAAGACAACCUUAAAAAUCACCAUAUCAAACACAUGUGUGUGUGUGCGCGCACACGCAAAAUGAAGAAAUGACUAGCUGGUGACUUGAGAAUUUUCUGCCUAGGUAACAAGAAGAAGGAUGGUAAUUUUGAAGAAGUGAGAGAAGACUAGGAAGGAUAGUUGGUUGGAAGGAAGGGUAACAACUACCAUUUUAGACAUUGAGUUCUAGAUGCAAAAAUGCAUAGAGGUUUGCUUUUCUGUCAAGAAUUUGGAGAUGUUUACAUAAAGAACAGAAGAAGGUAAGAUUGAAGAUGUAUAAAAAAUCAAUUUUUUUAGAAGUUUUACAGUCAAAGAAUAUAAAGUUUUUGAGGGAGAGGAAUUAGUUUUCCCAGGACUGGACUUUGGGAUAUACUCAUACUGAAGGAAUGGAAUGAAGAUUUAAAGGUAAUAAUUGACUGAAAAAAAAGCUCAAGAUAUAGAAAGGAUAUCAACCAAAUGUUUUAGAAGUAGAGGCAAUUUAGUGCUGCAGUGAACAAAACACUGGACUUAGUCAGAAGGUCUAGAGUUCAAAUUUGACUUCAGUUAUUUAGUAGUUGUAUAAAGCAAACCCCCAACCUCAUCUACCACAAUUUCUUUGCCUAUAAAAUGAAGACAAUAAUAGUACCUCUCUCCAAAGGUUGUUGUAAGGAUCAAGUGAGAUAAUAUUUAUAAAGCAUUUAGCACAGUUUCUAGUGCCAGGUAGGUAUUAAUAAAUAUUUGUUACUUACCUUCUUUUGUAAUUAUAAAGAGUAAGAAGCCAGGAAAAAGAGGCAAAAAUAUACUUUCUUUCUUUCCAGAGGUUAGAGAUGAUAGCUAUGGAAUAUUGCAGAAACUGAAAGACACACAGGUUGAAGAGUUGAAUAUGAUGUGGGAGAUGAUGGUAAUGACUCAUAUAAAGAUGAGGAAAUUGAGGCUCAUGAAGAUAAAUUGACUUGAGGAAGGUCACCCAGGCUAAGUGGCUAAACUAGGAUUGAAUUCAAAUCUGUGUGACUCCCAAAUCUGUGACUCCCAGUCUAACAUGCCCAGGUCAGUGAUCUUUCUGCUCAUUAUUAGUUUUUCCACAACCUCAAAACUCACAGGGAAAUCAUGGGAAACUUUCUUUCAUGUACCAUUCAAAUAGGUCUUAGACUUUCAAUCAG
rnacentral:lncRNA from 1 species